GUCAACUUGAGAGUUUGAUCCUGGCUCAGAACGAACGCUGGCGGCAUGCUUAACACAUGCAAGUCGAACGAAGG
rnacentral:rRNA from 1 species